GCCCGGUUAGCUCAAUCGGUAGAGCGUGAGACUCUUAAAACAAGAGCGCACGAUCUCAAGGUUGCGGGUUCGACCCCCGCAUCGGGCU
rnacentral:tRNA from 1 species